GUCGCCCUCCUCCCAUUGAGCGAGGCUGUGUCGCGUGGCCCAGCGUCGGCGUGACGGUUGGACGCGGGCGCGGCACUGCGGGUCCCGAUUGCUGCAGCCGCUUGUCAGUGUGAUGAAGAUUGGCACCCAGACAUCAUUUGCUUUUCACUCAAGAUGAUUUGAUGUCUUAUAAAACUCUGAUGAACCAUGAUGGCUACACAGACAUUAAGUAUAGACAGCUAUCAAGAUGGGCAACAGAUGCAAGUAGUAACAGAGUUAAAGACAGAACAAGAUCCAAACUGCUCUGAACCUGAUGCAGAAGGAGUGAGCCCUCCCCCUGUGGAGUCUCAGACCCCGAUGGAUGUGGACAAGCAGGCCAUUUAUAGGUAGUGCCCGGGGUGCCGGCUGUGGGGGCCUCAGAGGAGUGAGGAGCGUCCACAAGUUUGUUAAAGGGAACACCAGAACUAGUAGCGAGGCAGA
rnacentral:sRNA from 1 species